AACGAACGCUGGCGGCAGGCCUAACACAUGCAAGUCGAGCGGACCUUUCGGGGUCAGCGGCGGACGGGUGAGUAACGCGUGGGAAUAUGCCCUUCUCUACGGAAUAGUCCUGGGAAACUGGGGGUAAUACCGUAUACGCCCUUUGGGGGAAAGAUUUAUCGGGGAAGGAUUAGCCCGCGUUGGAUUAGGUAGUUGGUGGGGUAAUGGCCUACCAAGCCGACGAUCCAUAGCUGGUUUGAGAGGAUGAUCAGCCACACUGGGACUGAGACACGGCCCAGACUCCUACGGGAGGCAGCAGUGGGGAAUCUUAGACAAUGGGGGCAACCCUGAUCUAGCCAUGCGCGUGAGUGAUGAAGGCCUUAGGGUUGUAAAGCUCUUUCAGCUGGGAAGAUAAUGACGGUACCAGCAGAAGAAGCCCCGGCUAACUCCGUG
rnacentral:rRNA from 1 species